UCUGUUCACCCUAUCAGGAGCAGGGCUGCAAAAACAUCGACCAAUGGGAGCCAUCCGUCCCGGACGGCUCCUAUUGGUCAAUCUCCUGCUCCGCCUCUCCAUCCAAUCACCUCGCUGUAUUCGACACACCCCUCUCCUGUAGUUCCGACUCGUCCGAAAAUGCAAGCCGACAGAAGAAAGGGGUGGAGUCAAAGAGGACAUGUGACCAAGCGAGGAAUCUAACGUGAAUAACCAUCGGGUCAUCCUUGGAGACGCUGAGACAGCAGAGUUUUAGUUGAACAGGUCAUUUUUAUCUCCUUUUAUCUCAUGUUACAUAAAUAACUCUGAUUAGUCUCUGACAUGUCAACACGGUAGCUGUCCAGGCAGCUGCAGACGGCGCUCGCUAGCAGAGCUGGCGUUUACUGCUGCUAGUCACUAACAAUCCAACAUGGUGAA